UACGGAGGUGCGAGCGUUGUCCGGAAUCACUGGGCGUAAAGGGCGCGUAGGCGGCCUGAUAAGUAGGGGGUGAAAUCCUGCGGCUUAACCGCAGGGCUGCCUUCUAAACUGUCAGGCUGGAGCACAGUAGAGGCAGGUGGAAUUCCCGGUGUAGCGGUGGAAUGCGUAGAGAUCGGGAAGAACAUCAGUGGCGAAGGCGGCCUGCUGGGCUGUUGCUGACGCUGAGGCGCGACAGCGGUGGGGGAGCAAACAGG
rnacentral:rRNA from 1 species